GAUUCAGUUCCUUUGUGAUCCACCAGAGGUCAGUGUGAGCCAAGUCCUGCUGCCUGCACUGGUCCGUCUGCAGAGUAGGAAACCUCAAACUCAGAAUAAUAUUCUUCAGGAUUAUGGGAUUAGAGGAAUAUUCCAGUGAAACCAAAGAGACAAAAGAAAAGUAAUCUGAGACUCUCAAUCAAUCACUGUAGGUACAAUACAGGAAUAACACAGUGAUACUAAACAUCAGGGUACUGAGUAUAAGACAGUGUAAUCUGUCAUCGGUGUCAUCUCCCCAGAUGUUUCAUAACCGAGCCCUUACUACAUGACACUAGCAGACACACAGACACAGUGUGAGAGGGGAGAAUAACGGGGGAUAGAGUUACAGUGAGAGCGGCUGUGUCCAGGAUGAGAUCACCAUCAGGCAACUGUUGCCUCAUACAGAUGGAGGAUGGAGCUUUAAACCAGGUGCUGCUCUAUUGAACUCUGCAGGAGGCAUUCAGCUGAUGAAACGCUGGCGGACAUGUUGGACAUCCUUAGAUGUGUGUUCCAAUCACCUGUUGACUUACCUGUUUGAACGCACACAGUGUUGACACUGGGAAUGUGACGUCACCAUGUGACAGCGAGUCCGCCACCAUUAACUUGUUCAAAUUAAGUCCUAAAACCUGGAGAUGAGUUGGUAUUUUUGCACUUCCGGUUCCGUCGUCUCGGAGUCAAUGAGUUUUUGUGAAUGGGAUUUUAGUAAGAUGCUCUGAAAUAAGAUCUGUGGUUAACACAAGCUGAAGAAAUUUUAAUAGUUUGUUAUACAAUAUA